GGGGUUCUCUUCUCUGGAGACGUUAAAAACCCGCUUGGACGCGUUCUUAUGUGACCUAAUCUAGGUGUUCCUGCUCCCGCAGGGAUAUUGGACUAGAUGAUCUUUCGAGGUCCUUUCCAAUCCCUGACAUUCUGUGAUUCUGUGACUUGUGGACAAUAACAUACUAUUGUCAUUAGCCGUACAGAAUGCCCUCUCAGAGGCUGAAAGAAAGGGGCCAUAGCUUCUGAUGAAACUUUAGAGAUGCAGGAGAUUAUUAUUUUUCUCCUUUCCAUGGAGAAUAUCAAGCUGCUAAUUGUCUGCUCUAUUUUCUGCUCUAGUUUUUACAGAAAAUAUUAAGUCACAUACCAGGAAAAUUCAUAUUCUUGACAUUAAAUCUUCUGGUAACACCGAGAGAGCAUCAUCCAUUCAGACCGGUAGCGCAUUUGAAGCAAAGACCCUGUAAACUAGCAGUGGUUUACAUAGGCUUUGCUCUUUUCUACUCCUCUGCAAAGAGUUCCACCUGUUAAAAAAUCAAUAUUGUUGUCAGUAAUCUGGAUUUGAGGAUCUUUAGAAAUCUGAUUAUUAGUACUGAGCAGAUACAUAAAAAAAUCUCUUCUACAUUGAACACUGUAUUGAGGAUUCAACUCACUAACUUUGUUUUCUUUCAGGACAAUUUCACACUGAGUUUCUGAAGAUGGAUUCCCAGUUUUGCAGCUUGCCAAAGCUGCGCAUAUUUGAGAAAGAUUUUGACUGUAACAAAAUCAAUGUAAAUCAUAAUCUCGGGAGUUCAAACAGUCCUUGGUCUACAACAUGGCAUAUGAAGAGAUCGCUGGAGAUAUUUCAGACCAGAGUCUACAGUGAGAAGCAGAAGAACGAGACACCACCUACCUCUCGCAAAGCAGGGGAAGAUAGAAGGCCUAAAUGAUAUUUAUCUGCAGGUAAUAUUUCAAUAAUCUGCUUCUUCUCUUUAUCUUUCCUGAGGCUUGGAGCCAUGGCCAAGUGACGAGGGUUUCCUGUGUACAGGCUCUUUGGGCACUGUCUUGGUUUUGCCUUCCUGUUGUCCAUACUCUAACAGCUGCAGGAGAUUUCUCCAGACCUCAAAGAAGUCACUCUAGCUUAACAGCUCAGCUGG
rnacentral:lncRNA from 1 species